AUGGCGUCUUCCUCGUGUCUCGAUAUCGGGUCGGUCGCUGUGUGUAGGGGUAAUUUGUGUGUGUCGCUCUCUCUCUUCUUAUUAUCUCUCCUGUCUCUCUCUCUCAAGGACGAAGUGAAAUCCGUGCUCUGGUCAUCCGGCAGACAAAACCAACACGCAGCGGCAAGAACAAUAUACAAAAAGCGUCUCUGUGCUCCUCCAGAUCCCCCGGGUUCCGCUGCUACCCACCCCAGCCAAAUGACACCCCGCUGGGGCUACAGCAGAGGUCUCUCCCCGAACAGACGGCUCUACAUCCACAGAGGUGUUCAUGGAAUGCAUAGGCCUAAUUGGGCUCCUGAGUGCUGCAGCGGUCAAAGGCACUGCAUCUCAGUGCUUGAGGCGUCACUACAGCCACCCUGGUUCGAUUCCAGGCUGUAUCACAUUCGGCCGUGAUUGUGAGUCCUAUAGGGCGGCGUACAAUUGGCCCAGCAUCGUCCGGGGGUAGGCCGUCAUUGUAAAUAAGAAUUUGUUCUUAACUGACUUGCCUAGUUAAAUAAAGGUCAAAUAAAAAAAUUCAAUAGAAAAUUGCGUCAGGUGUGCGAUGUGGCGUCUCUAUCUAUUCAUGCUGUCCUUGUGCAUUUAUCCACGUUCCAUCACUCGAUGUAGUUGUCACAACCAUAGAGAACCUAUUAAAUUAGUAUUCUAAUUCCCAAUUCUAUGGUCACAAGUCACAACUCAUUUAAACAAGUGUGCACGCACACAUACAGCUUGAUAGAGAGAGAGAAGUGGGAGCAGUACAGUAAGAUAUCAUCUGUGUUGAUAGAACAUGGCCUAUUAGGCCUACGAGUUAAUGUCAGCCUCCUGUGUGAAAAAUCAAUCAAUCAUAGACUUUCAAAGAGGCAUGAGUUUAGUUACACAAUGUGCUGCUCUGAGCGUGGGAUUUCAAUAAUCAUGUUUACGAGCACAGGUCCAGAGAAAUGAAUGUACACUACGUGUGUGUUAGUGUUCUAUUUUUAUUACAUUUUUUUUAACUAGGCAAGUCAGUUAAGAACAAAUUCUUAUUUUCAAUGACAGCCUAGGAACAGUGGGUUAACUGCCUUCUCAGCUCAGGGAUUUGAACUUGCAACCUUUCAGUUACUAGUCCAACGCUGUAACCACUAGGCUACGCUAUAGGCUAUUGAGAGUAGAAAUUGUCCCUAAGAAAAUCAGGAGUUGAUGUGAACCCCUGGCCUUUUAUUUUAGGACAGUAUUGAUCGUGUUUCUUGAGAGGCCCAUGUGAGUUGAGAAAGAUGGCGCCGACAGACAUGGCAGCUCUGCUUAUUGCUCCUCAGCAACUUUGCAGUGUUGUUGUUGUGUUAUUUCUUACAUUAUUAGCACAGAACGUUCUUACUUAAUUCCAUUCUCUUACUUUUGGAUUGUGUGCAUUGUUGUGAAUUGCUAUAUACUACUGCACUGUUGCAACUAGGAACACAAGCAUUUAGCUACACCUGCAAUAACAUCUGCUAAAUAUGUGUAUGCGACCAAUACACAUUUGAUUUGAUGUGGUGUUGAUAACCUUAAAUAGUUAAUUAAAAAAAACACAAAAUAAUACAUAAAAGUAGGCUAAGAUAUUUGUAACAUCAAUUGCAUUUGAUUCCAUAAGAACCUGAAUCCUCAAUUAUAGGCCUAUAGCCUACAUAGCCUGCACACAAUCACAGGCUACAGCAUAGCCACAUUUUCAAAAACAUGCAUUUCAUUAGGCCUAAUUAAAAUAACUGCAUGCAAUCAUAACAUUGUAUAGGCCUACAAGUAUUAUAACACACAAAAAAAAAUCAUAUUUACAUGUUUGUCUUAUAUUGUAAGCCCAAUGCACAGUUAAUAAUGCCUACACAGUGAUUCAAAUUAUUGGACCUAACGAAGCAUGUCUAAUCACCCACCUACAGUAUAUGGAUCUGGACAUUUUGUUUGAACUGACUGCCUGGUAAAAUAAUUACAUAUUUUGAAAAGCAUUCUGCCUAUAAACUACAGACUGCGUUCUGCCUCCAACGUGCCAAAGUGACAGGUUUAUCGGACCUCUAGCGGUUGGAAAGGGCAAUUGCAGCCAAGUGGUGGAAAUUAAUAUUGUCCAUUCCAAAGCUUUGAGGUGCAUUGACCCGAGUAACAGCUAACGUUUUUUACACAUGUGCGUUAGAACAAAUAUAACAUCCGUGACUAUCCGUCUUUUCUAUUCAAAACAGAAUAAUGAAGGAAGUAGUUGGAAAAUAAACAAUGCGCAACAAGGAAGCAGAGUUCAAUGCAUUGCGUCCUGUUCCAAAACCACAACCACUAACCGAACACUUCAGCCUUGCACAUAAUACUACCAAUCUCUCUUUCCAGGGAGAUCUCUCCAAAUUCAAGUUGACAUUUUUACGUUUUCGAAGGUCCCCAGGACGUCUGGAGGCUCCCUCAGAAGACUCCAGGAAAGGCUGUAAUAAAUGGCUAAAUUAAAGUUGUUUUUCUGUUUUAACAUUAUGUUAUCCAAUCGGAAUGAAUGUCUGACGUUAAACCUAGAGCUGUUUCUGUAUCUCUUAACCCAGUCGGAAUUAAUGCCUUAACUAAACUGUAGACUUUUUUUCUGUGUGUCUAAACCCUAAUAUUGCUAAACCUUUCAUUUAAAAUGGUGUAUAUGAAACAUUUUAACAAGGCAAACAACGUUACAAAACAACUCAACAACCACCCAGUAGCCUAUUCACAACCAAUAGUAAUCUUAUUUCACCUCAUUAAAAAAAAGCAGUUAUUCUGAAAAGCAGUUGGAUUUCUGUCAAGUGCUCUGUGAUAACACUGGGGGAACCACUGAGUGCACUAGCACUGGAAACAUUUUGUUCAGCAUUUCAUGUAGCUAUCCUAUGAAACCAUUUGCUACAAAAUAUUCUGACACAAUAGCCCAACAGUCAAAUUACAUGUCACAAUGUUUUGGAUAAUUUACAUGUCCAUAGAGUGAUAAAUACAUGACAAAGUGAUUUGCAAGGUAUAGCAGGCCUAUUCAUCACUGAAAUGUGCCAAUCAUAACAGCACAUCACAGGGGCCAAGCUUCCUGCCAUCCAGGACCUCUAUACCAGGCGGUGUCAGAGGAAGGCCCUAAAAAUUGUCAAAGACUCCAACCACCCUAGUCAUAGACUGUUCUCUCUGCUAUCGCACGGCAAGCGGUACUGGAGCGCCAAGUCUAGGUCCAAGAGGCUUCUAAACAGCUUCUACCCCCAAGCCAUAAGACUCCUGACCAUCUAAUCAAAUGGCUACCCAGACUAUUUGCAUUGCCCCUCUUUUAUGCCGCUGCUGCUCUCUGUUAUUAUCUAUGCAUAGUCACUUUAAUAACUCCACCUACGUGUGCAUAUUAUCUCAAUUACCGGUGCCCCCGCACAUUGACUCUCUACCGGUACCCCCUGUAUAUAGUCUCGCUAUUGUUAUUUUACUGCUGCUCUUUAAUUACAUGUUACUUUUAUUUAUUUAUUUAUUUUUUUUUAACUGCAUUGUUGGUUGGGGGCUUGUAAGUAAGCAUUUCACUGUAAGGUCUACACUUGUAUUCAGUGCAUGUGACUAAUACAAUUUGAUUCGAUUAUUUUGAUAUGAUCAUAAUAAUAACACUGCAAUUUUCUCAUGUAAAAUAUGAGACACAGGGAUGGAUUGAUCAGGGGAUGUUAGUUCAACAAACAACCCGUCAGCUGGCCAACUCAAUGCCUAUACAGGGGAGUAGCCUAUAUGUCAACAAGGCUACUAGCUGCCGCAGUCUCAUCUUAGAAAACACACCAUAGUUUCCCUCAUUAAAAUGCAAAUCAAUUUAUAACAUUUUUGACAUGCGUUUUUCAGGAUAUUUUAGUUGUUAUUCUGUAUCUCACUUUUCAAAUAAACCGACCAUUAAAAUUAUAGACUGAUCAUUUCUUUGUCACUGGGCAAAUGUACAAAAUCAGCAGGGGAUCAAAUACUUUUUUCCCCCACUGUAUAGGUGCUCAUAUUUUCCACCUCUCAAAACCUAGGCUACUUGUAAUAAAAUUAAGCACUUGCUAGUCUAACUAGCUACUGUAAAGAAUAGCUAGAUGCAGGUAUGUAUGUCAAUUACAGCAACCGUGAAAGCUGGUGCACAUGGAAAAAAAAUGCACCAUUCUCCUGAUUGAUGGACCGGACUUGUAAUGGACUUGAGCACCCUCGUCUUCACAUAUCAGUGCCACAGCCAAC
rnacentral:lncRNA from 8 species